rnacentral:rRNA from 1 species
GCGUUGUCCGGAUUUACUGGGCGUAAAGGGUGCGCAGGCGGCCUCGCGCGUCGCGAGUGAAAUCUCCCGGCUCAACUGGGAGGGUGGUCGCGAGACGGCGGGGCUUGAGGCUCGGUGAGGGGCGUGGAAUUCCGGGUGGAGCGGUGAAAUGCGCAGAUAUCAGGAAGAACACCCGUGGCUAAGGCGGCUCUCUAGUACGGUACUGACGCUGAGACGCGAAAGCGUGGGGAGCGAACAGG